GAGGCCUCCGUGUAGGCCGCAGUGAAGCCUGAACUCGAGUAGGGCCCAAGCAAGCCAGGAAGGAGGAGGCAGCCAGAGUGUUCUCUGCAGCAGAAGACUCCUUGCUGCCCUGCUUAACCCAGACCAGCAUUUGCCAGACAGAUCACGAGCUGAUAGUCAAGGAACGCAGCUGAUGUCUGUGAACGAAGGGUUAAUGGUUCUGAAGUUCCUGAUGCAGGAAGCCUGAUAAAACUGGGGAAAAAUGGAUAUGCAUUGCAAUUGGAUGGAAGAAUAACAGCAGUCCAGAUGAUAUGGUUACGGUCAUUACAGUUUUAAUUUGCAGCUAGCACUUUGCCUUUCCGCUACUGGAGGAAAAAGCAGAAAGGAAACUACCAUGGUCUGUGCUCUGCUUCAGAAGCCACUACAGGACAGGCCACUGCAGAGUAAAUAAGUGGCAUUCAAAGAAGAGCCUUUCAGUAGUGUGUUCAAGGAUGAGAUCCAGGAAGUGAUCACUGACAUGAAAGCAGGAAUGCUGCAGCUACCAAAAGAUGAACAGCAGUUACCCUCUGUCAAUUAAAGAGCUGAAGGCCCCACCAUCUUCUCAGUUGACUCAGUUGACCUCAUAGACUGGAGUACGUUGCCUGCUGCCUAUGACAGCUCAUGCCAUACCUCAAUAAAAU